AACGAACGCUGGCGGCAUGCCUAACACAUGCAAGUUGAACGAGAAAGCACCUUCGGGUGUGAGUAGAGUGGCGCACGGGUGAGUAACGCGUGGGAACCUGCCAAGCAGUGGGGAAUAACCUUUGGAAACGAAGGCUAAUACCGCAUACGCCCUUUUGGGGAAAGAUUUAUCGCUGUUUGAUGGUCCCGCGUCCGAUUAGCUAGUUGGUAGGGUAAUGGCUUACCAAGGCAACGAUCGGUAGCUGGUCUGAGAGGAUGAUCAGCCACACUGGAACUGAGACACGGUCCAGACUCCUACGGGAGGCAGCAGUGGGGAAUAUUGGACAAUGGGCGCAAGCCUGAUCCAGCAAUGCCGCGUGAGUGAAGAAGGCCCUAGGGUUGUAAAACUCUUUCAGUGGUGAUGAUGAUGACAGUAACCACAGAAGAAGCACCGGCUAACUUCG
rnacentral:rRNA from 1 species